ensembl:lncRNA
UUUAGAUGAUAGUCGCUUUGGCACAAACCCCAAACUUCUUUAACGUCUCAAUGUAGCUUCCCUAGAGGCACCAAUGUAACCCUAGAGACCAUUUUGCUCAGAAUGCUCUGUGUCCCGCUGACCACAGCCUGCCUCGUUCCUUUCCAUCCUGGUCUUGGUGCUCCCUACUGAGUGUACAGACAACGUGCUGCCUUUUGGGCAGGGCAGAAAGCUGAGCUAUCCUCCACCAUUUCAGGUUUUAGCGUGGCUGUGAGAUGAAUCUGAUCCAGCAUCUGGCCAAACUCAGGGACCAACGCACUGAUCGGCUGUUCCCUAUGACUGCAGUGUGUCAGCACUCAAGCUGGGAAAGUUUGAGGGCACGUGUUUCCUAUCCCUCUGCCUAUGGACCUAAGAGCAGAGACUGAUAGGGAUCGAUAUUCAGAAAGGAGCGCAGUUUGGCAGAGGAUGCCAAAGGAGCCUGCUGAGCGUGGCCACAGAUGAUCCCAGCUGAGCGUGGCCACUCACAAACUGAAGAGAACCUCUGUGCUGUGUCAUCAAUUGGAGCUGCAAUAAAUGAUCCUAUAUCAAGCACUGUGCUUUUCAUUCCUCAAAAUGACUUACAAAGUGAGGUAUUCUGAUGGCAUGACUGCAUCACGUGAAUCGGAGCAACUUUUGGAACAAAAAAAAAGGCAAGUUUUUGUUA